UGAUGAAGCUGUCGGCGACAGCAGAGCCGCUGGAAGGAUUAGACGCGGCUCUUGGAAAUGCUUUGGAGUUGGUGAACAGUUGCAGAGAAAAGAGCUACUUCUACAUGCUUGCCAUGGGGUGGAGCGUAGUUUACCAGUUUCAACGGGUUCAGACGGAGAUUGAUCGAUACCUGAACCUGGUUCCCUUGAUUUCCAUUGUCCACGACUUCCGAAUGCAGGACGUGCAUGAAAGCUUGGAAGCUGUUGAAGGUGAUUAUCAUUGUGAAUACACUCUAGACAAAGAGGAUAUUGAGGCCCACAGAGCAGUACUGAAACCUGAUCGAUCAAAGAAAGAUGCAAAUGUAUUAGAGAA
rnacentral:misc_RNA from 1 species